UGGAAGACGUUUCUUUGCCUAUUACGAAGAUAUGAAAUCCAGAGACUUCAUCAAGGGAGGAAGUGCAAUUUUUGGAGUUCAGCUUCCAAGGUAGGUUGAUCAAACUGUUUUUACUGCUUAACUUGACUGUAUAGCUGCUCUGCUUGGAAUUCUACAACAAAUUAGUUUGAAACAUUUCUUUACACCUAAGAGGAAGUUUUGUUCUACAUGUUUACUGAAACUUUCUUUUGUUAGAUAUCUCUCCUCUCCUUAGUGGAAAUUCUCUACCAUGUCCUAAAGUGGAACCAGUGAAGAUUAGACACCUUCCUAGAUAUCAGGAUAAUGGCCCAUGCUCAUCACGGAUCUUACCCACCACCCGUCCACCUCCUAACACAACAGAUGACAAAAGCAUUUUUUGGCUUCUCUGCUGCUUUGGUGUGUUCUCCUGUCCUCACCCUCCUAUUGAUGAUUUUGAUACCUUGAUGUACAUCUCUGCGCACAUCUCACCUCGGAUAUCGUCAGUAAAGUUGCCACUGGCUGAGUAAUUCAGCAGUUCUUAACUUUAUUUUAGAUUUGUUUAUGUGGUUAUAUAGUCGACUAAUACAAAAAAGGUGUAAUAAGUAAAUAACUAUUGGUGGAUACUGUAUUUGGGAAUAGUUGUAUUGUCACAAUUAUAUCGUCAUAUGUUACAAUUAAGUACAUGUCUGUGGUGUGACUGUAUAUUUUGUUAAUUGGAUUAUCUUAUCUGCGUUAAUCUUAAAAAUGUACUUCUAUUUCUUAUGGUAUUGCAGUCUUUCGACUGCAUUUAUAACUGGCUAAUGAAAAGGCAAGGUUGCUGUGAGCCCUUAAAUGUUUGUAAUAAUACUGUAGAUUUACAGUAUGAUGUGGAAUUGUACAGCUAUCCCUGUACAGUGGUUCUUGAUUGACAAAAAUAGCAUAUUUGAUU